UACGUAGGGACCAAGCGUUGUUCGGAUUUACUGGGCGUAAAGGGCUCGUAGGCGGUUUGUCGCGUCGGGAGUGAAAUCCACUGGCUUAACUGGUGGCUUGCUUUCGAUACGGGCAGACUGGAGGUAUGCAGGGGAGAACGGAAUUCCUGGUGUAGCGGUGAAAUGCGCAGAUAUCAGGAGGAACACCGGUGGCGAAGGCGGUUCUCUGGGCAUGUCCUGACGCUGAGGAGCGAAAGUGUGGGGAGCGAACAGG
rnacentral:rRNA from 1 species